UCUGUAUUUUAAGAAGUUUGACAAAUGAGUGCAGGAUGGUGAGCAAAUGCAGACUGAAUACUGUCUUCAGAAAAUCUCUGUGUGGAUCUGUCACCAUCAUGGCUGCUAAAACAUUCAAGCAUUGUAGGAAACUAAAUGAAAUGGAUGCCCUUUUGGUGUGGGUAAACCAUAAACCAUACAAUGUCAUCUAUUCGACCCAGCCUAUCCUGUUCCUGACCAUUUAUCUGGACAUGGACUGACUCCCCGGUACACUCACAGACUCCUUCAGCAUUCUGGCCUUCAGAAGAGCCUGCCAGUUCCAAGCCAACACCUUGAUUGCAGCACCGCGAGAG